rnacentral:rRNA from 1 species
GAUUCGAAUUUGGCGUUAAGGGGCGUGAAGGCUCGUAGGCGGUGCCACAAGUCACUUGUGAAAUCCCCGGGCUUAACUCGGGGCCUGCAGCGAAACUGUGGUGCUGGAGUAUGGGAGAGGUGCGUGGAAUUCCCGGUGUAGCGGUGAAAUCGUAGAUAUCGGGAGGACACCUGUGGCGAAAGCGGCGCACUGGACCAUAACUGACGCUGAGGCGCGAAAGCUAGGGGAGCAAACAGG